CCUUCCUCACUUCCUCCCUUCCCUCUCUCUCUCCCUCUUUCUCCCUCCCCUCUCUCUCUCCCUCUUUCUCCCUCCCCUCUCUCUCUUCCUCUCUCUCUCUCUCUCUCUCUCUCUCUCUCGAUGUAAUUGACAACAGAUUACCGUCUGACUCUGCAGCCAGAUGAAAGAACACAAUGUUUUCAGCCUUCCAAUGACCAUGCAGCAGCGCUGCGGUAUGGGUACGGGCUCUCAUCAAGUGCCCUCUUGUGACAGUUUAGAUUUUAAUAGGAGUUGAUAAGACAGCACAAACAUACUGUAUCAAUAUAGCUCCUCAGAUCUAGGAUCAUAAUGAAUGGACAGGGUCAGCACUAUGAGAUACUGAAUGAACACAGAUCUCUCCUCUGCACCAUGUUAGUCUCACGGUGUCUACAUCUGACAACACAUGUAUCAUUCCAGAGCUGCCUAUGUAAUGAUGACUCGGUCUGUGUCUCACUCGCUCUCUCUCUCUCGCUCUCUCUCUCUCUCUCUCUCACUCACUCACUCACUCACUCACUCACUCACUCACUCACUCACUCACUCACUCACUCACUCACUCACUCACUCACUCACUCACACAGAGCGAGAUAUUCCAACUAAAUGUUUUUUUUUUUUCUCCACCUUUAUUUAACCAGAUAGGCUAGUUGAGAACAAGUUCUCAUUUACAACUGCGACCUGGCCAAGAUAAAGCAUAGCAAUUCGACACUAAACAGUGUCCAAAGAGGGGCCAGAAGUAUACAGAAUGGUGUCGUCUGCGUAGAGGUGGAUCAGAGAAUCACCAGCAGCAAGAGCAACAUCAUUGAUGUAUACAGAGAAGAGAGUCUGUAUACAGAGAAGAGAGUCGGCCCGAGAAUUUAACCCUGUGGCACCCCCAUAGAGACUGCCAGAGGUCCGGACAACAGGCCCUCCGAUUUGACACACUGAACCAGGCGAGGCAAUCAUUUGAGAAACCAAGGCUGUCGAGUCUGCCAAUAAGAAUGUGGUGAUUGACAGAGUUAAAAGCCUUGGCCAAGUCGAUGAAUACGGCUGCACAGUAAUGUCUCUUAUUGAUGGCGGUUAUGAUGUCGUUUAGGACCUUGAGCGUGGCUGAGGUGCACCUAUGACCAGCUCUGAAACCAGAUUGCAUAGCGGAGAAGGUACGGUGGGAUUCGAAAUGGUCGGUAAUCUGUUUGUUAACUUGGCUUUCGAAGACCUUAGAAAGACAGGGUAGGAUGGAUAUAGGUCUGUAGCAGUUUGGGUCUAGAGUGUCACUCCCUUUGAAGAGGGGGAUGACCGCGGCAGCUUUCCAAUCUUUAGGAAUCUCAGAUGAUACGAAAGAGAGGUUGAACAGGCUAGUAAUAGGGGUUGCAACAAUUUCGGCAGAUCAUUUUAGAAAGAGAGGGUCCAGAUUGUCUAGCCCGGCUGAUUUGUAUGGGUCCAGAUUUUGCAGCUCUUUCAGAACAUCAGCUAUCUGGAUUUGGGUGAAGGAGAAAUGGUGUCGGCUUUGGCGGUUGCUGUGGACGGUGCCGGGCAGUUAACCGGGGUAGGGGUAGCCAGGUGGAAAGCAUGGCCAGCCGUAGAGAAAUGCUUGUUGAAAUUCAAUAUCUCUGGUGACAGUGUUUCCUAGCCUCAGUGCAGUGGGCAGCUGGGAGGAGGUGCUCUUAUUCUCCAUGGACUUUACAGUGUCCCAGAACUUUUUUGAGUUAGUACUACAGGAUGUAAAUUUCUGUUUGAAAAAGAUAGCCUUAGCUUUUCUAACUGCCUGUGUAUAUUUGUUCCUAACUUCCCUGAAAAGUUGCAUGUCACGUGGGCUAUUCGAUGCUAAUGCAGAACGCCACAGGAUGUUUUUGUGCUGGUCACGGGCAGACAGGUCUGGAGUGAACCAAGGACUAUAUCUAUUCCUAGUUCUAGAUUUUUUGAAUGGGGCAUGCUUAUUUAAGAUGGUGAGGAAGGCACUUUUAAAGAAUAGCCAGGCAUCAUCUACUGACGGUAUGAGGUCAAUGUCAUUCCAGGAUACCCUGGCCAGGUCGAUUAGAAAGGCCUGCUCGCAGAAGUGUUUUAGGGAGCAUUUGACAGUGAUGAGGGGUGGUCGUUUGGUCGCAGACCCAUUACGGAUGCAGGCAAUGAGGCAGUGAUCGCUGAGAUCUUGAUUGAAAACAGCAGAGGUGUAUUUGGAGGGCGAGUUAGUUAGGAUGAUAUCUAUGAGGGUGCCCGUGUUUACGGAUUUGGGGUUGUACCUGGUAGGUUCAUUGAUAAUUUGUGUGAGAUUGAGGGCAUCAAGCUUAGAUUGUAGGACGGCUGGGUUGUUAAGCAUGUCCCAGUUUAGGUCACCUAGUAGCACGAGCUCAGAAGAUAGAUGGGGGCAAUCAACUAACAUAUGGUAUCGAGGGCACAGCUGGGGGCAGAGGGAGGUCUAUAGCAAGCGGCAACAGUGAGAGACUUGUUUCUGGAAAGGUGAAUUUUUAGAAGUAGAAGCUCGAAUUGUUUGGGUACAGACUUGUAUAGUAAUACAGAACUGCAGGCUAUCUUUGCAGUAGAUUGCAACACCGCCCCCUUUGGCAGUUCUAUCUUGGCGGAAAAUGUUAUAGUUAGUUUUCCUAAGUCAGGAUUCAGACACGGCGAAGACAUCCGGGUUGGCUGAGUGUGCUAAAGCAGUGAGUAAAACAAACUUAGGGGGUAGGCUUCUAAUGUUAACAUGCAUGAAACCAAGGCUUUUACGGUUACAGAAGUCAACAAAUGAGAGCACCUGUGGAGUGGGAGUGGAGCUAGGCACUGCAGGACCUGGAUUAACCUCCACAUCACCAGAGGAAUAGAGGAGAAGUAGGAUAAGGGUACGGCUAAAGGCUAUACGAACUGGCCGUCUAGCACAUUUGGAACAGAGAGUAAAAGGAGCAGGUUUCUGGGCACGAUAGCAUAGAUUCAAGGCAUAAUGUACAGACAAAGGUAAUGUAGGAUGUGAGUACAUUGGAGGUAAACCUAGGCAUUGAGUAAUGAUGAGAGAGAUAUAGUCUCUAGAGACGUUUAAACCAGGUGAUGUUAUCGCAUAUGUAGGAGGUGGAACAACAUGGUUGGUUAAGGCAUAUUGAGCAGGGCUAAAGGCUCUACAGUGAAAUAAGACAGUAAUCACUAACCAGGACAGUAAUGGACGAGGCAUAUUGCUAUUAGAGAGAGGCAUGCGUAGCCAAGUGAACAUAUGGGUCCAGUGAUUGGUUGGGCUGACUGGGGACACGGCGAUUCAGACAGUUAGCAGGUCGAUGCUAACAGUUAGUAGGCCGGGGUUAAACAAGCUAGCAAUUAGCAGACUGGGGCUGGCAAGCUAGCAGUUAGCAUACCGGGUUAGCAAGUUAGCCUUUGGGGGAAGUCGCGAUGGGGGUAAGUCUGUUUUUGCCUCUUCGUGCGGUGACGUCGAUAGACCAGUCGUGGAAUUAGUAGGGUUCCAAGUAGCUCUAGAUAGCUAGCAGGCCGGUUAGCAGAAUGGGCCUUCAGUGGACGUCGCGCCUGAGGGGCCUGUUGGAAUCAAAUGGUUGAUUAAACAUGGCUGACUGAGAUAUGGAGGAGGUAUGGAGGAGGAGGUACGGAGGAGAUAUGGAGGAGGAGGUACGGAGGAGAUAUGGAGGAGAUAUGGAGGAGGAGGUACUGAGGAGAUAUGGAGGAGAUAUGGAGGAGGAGGUACAGAUGAGGAGGAGGUAUGGAGGAGGUACGGAGGAGAUAUGGAGGAGAUAUGGAGGAGGAGGUACAGAUGAGGAGGAGAUAUGGAGGAGGAGGUACGGAGGAGAUAUGGAGGAGAUAUGGAGGAGGAGGUACAGAUGAGGAGGAGGUAUGGAGGAGGUACGGAGGAGGUAUAGAGAAGAUAUGGAGGAGGUACAGAGGAGAUAUGGAGAUAUGGAGGAGGUAUGGAGGGGGUACAGAGGAGAUACGGAGGAGAUAUGGAGGAGGUACAGAGGAGAUACGGAGGAGGAGGAGGUAUGGAGGAGGCGGAGGUAUGGAGGAGAUAUGGAGGAGGAGAUAUGGAGGAGGAGGUACGGAGGAGGUAAAGAGAAGAUAUGGAGGAGGAGGUACAGAUGAGGAGGAGGUAUGGAGGAGGUAUGGAGGAGAUACAGAGAAGAUAUGGAGGAGGAGGUACAGAGGAGGUGGUAUGGAGGAGAUAUGGAGGAGGAGGUACGGAGGAGAUAUGGAGGAGAUAUGGAGGAGGAGGUACAGAUGAGGAGGAGGUAUGGAGGAGGUACGGAGGAGGUAUAGAGAAGAUAUGGAGGAGGUACAGAGGAGAUAUGGAGAUAUGGAGGAGGUAUGGAGGGGGUACAGAGGAGAUACGGAGGAGAUAUGGAGGAGGUACAGAGGAGAUACGGAGGAGGAGGAGGUAUGGAGGAGGCGGAGGUAUGGAGGAGAUAUGGAGGAGGAGAUAUGGAGGAGGAGGUACGGAGGAGGUACAGAGAAGAUAUGGAGGAGGAGGUACAGAUGAGGAGGAGGUAUGGAGGAGGUAUGGAGGAGAUACAGAGAAGAUAUGGAGGAGGAGGUACAGAGGAGGAGGUAUGGAGGAGAUAUGGAGGAGGAGGUACGGAGGAGAUAUGGAGGAGAUAUGGAGGAGAUAUGGAGGAGAUACGGAGGAGGUAUGGAAGAGGAGAGAUGGAGGAGGAGGUAUGGAAGAGGAGGAGGAGGUAUAGAGGAGGUAUGGAGGAGGAGAUACGGAGGAGAUAUGGAGGAGGAGGUAUGGAGGAGGAGGAGGUAUGGAGGAGGUACGAGGAGAAAUGGAGGAGGAGAGAUGGAGGAGGAGGAGGUAUAGAGGAGGAGGUACGGAGGAAAUACAAAGGAGUAGGAGGUAUGGAGGAGGUACAGAGGAGAAAUGGAGGCGGAGGUAUGGAGGAGGUACAGAGAAGAUAUGGAGGAGGAGAUAUGGAGGUACAGAGAAGGAGGAGGUAUGGAGGAGGUACAGAGGAGGAGGAGGUAUGGAGGAGGUACGGAGGAGGAGGAGGUAUGGAGGAGGUACAGAGGAGGAGGAGGUGUGGAGGAGGUACGGAGGAGAAAUGGAGGAGGAGGUAUGGAGGAGGUAUGGAGGAGGAGGUACGGAGGAGGUACAGAGGAGGAGGAGGUAUGGAGGAGGAGGUAUGGAGGAGGAGGUAUGGAGGAGGAGGAUGCAUGGAGGAGGUGCAGAGGAGGAGGAGGUAUAGAGGAGGUAUGGAGGAGAAAUGGAGGAGGAGGUACAGAGAAGAUAUGGAGGAGGAGAUAUGGAGGAGUAUGGAGGAGGUACAGAGAAGGAGGAGGUAUGGAGGAGGUACAGAUGAGGAGGAGGUAUGAAGGAGGUAUGGAGGAGGUAUGGAGGAGGUACAGAGAAGAUAUAGAGGAGGAGAUAUGGAGGAGGUAUGGAGGAGAUAUAGAGGAGAUAUAGAGGAGGAGAUAUGGAGGAGGUAUGGAGGAGAUAUAGAGGAGAUAUAGAGGAGGAGGUACGGGGGAGGUAGAGGAGGAGGAGGAAUGGAGGAGAAGAUAUGGAGGAGGAGGUAUGGAGGAGAUAUAGAGGAGGAGGUACGGAGGAGGAGGUACAGAGGAGGAGUUAUGGAGGAGGUAUGGAGGCGAUAUAGAGGAGGAGGUAUGGAGGAGAUAAAGAGGAGAUAUGGAGGAGGUAUGGAGGAGAUAAAGAGGAGAUAUGGAGGAGGUAAAGAGGAGAUAUGGAGGAGGUAAAGAGGAGAUAUGGAUGAGGUAAGGAGGAGGUAUGGAGGAGGAGGUAUGGAGGAGGAGGUAUGGAGGACGAGAUAUGGAUGAGGUAAGGAGGAGGUAUGGAGGAGGAGGUAUGGAGGAGGUAAAGAGGAGGUAUGGAGGAGGAGGUAUGGAGGAGGUAAAGAGGAGGUAUGGAGGAGGAGGUAUGGAGGAGGAGGUAUGGAGGAGAUAAGGAGGAGAUAUGGAGGAGGUAAAGAGGAGAUAUGGAGGAGGUAUGGAGGAGGAGGUAGGGAGGAGGUAGGGAGGAGGAGACAUAGAGGUUUGGAGGAGGUUUGGAGGAGAUAUGGAGGAGGAGGUACGGAGGAGGUACAGAGGAGGAGAAAUGGACGAGGAGAAAUGAGGAGGAGGUAUGGAGGAGGUACGGAGGAGAAAUGGAGGAGGAGAUACGGAGGAGGUAUGGAGGAGGUACGGAGGAGAUAGGGAGGAGACAUAGAGGAGGUUUGGAGGAGGAGAUACGGAGGAGGAGGUACGGAGGAGGAAUGGAGGAGGUACGGAGGAGGAAGGUCAUGGCUGGUCAUGGCUCACAUCAACACCAUCAUGCCGGAAACCCUAGAUCCACUCCAAUUCGCAUACCACCCAAACAGAUCCACAGAUGAUGCAAUGUCUACUGCACUCCCCACUGCCCUUUCCCACCUGGACAAAAGGAACAUCUAUGUGAGAAUGCUGUUCAUUGACUACAGCUCAGCGUUCAACACCAUAGUGCCCUCCAAACUCAUCACUAAGCUAAGGACCCUGGGACUAAACACCUCCCUCUGCAACUGGAACCUGGACUUCCUGACGGGCCGCCCCCAGGUGGUGAGCUAGCUAGCAGAACAGGUACCACUCCUCCUCCUCCUCCUCCUCCAUAAACACAGAGGGGUGGUGAGGAGAGGACCAGCUAGCUAGCAGAACAGGUACCACUCCUCCUCCUCCUCCUCCAUAAACACAGAGGGGUGGUGAGGAGAGGACCAGCUAGCUAGCAGAACAGGUACCACUCCUCCUCCUCCUCCUCCUCCAUAAACACAGAGGGGUGGUGAGGAGAGGACCAGCUAGCUAGCAGAACAGGUACCACUCCUCCUCCUCCUCCUCCAUAAACACAGAGGGGUGGUGAGGAGAGGACCAGCUAGCUAGCAGAAC
rnacentral:lncRNA from 1 species